AAUCCAAAUUUCCAACUUUUCCAAUCCUCAAGUAAAUAGGAUAAAUCACUUUUUUCUCACUCUUCCCAUCUUCAUUCCAAGCACUUGUAAAUUUUUCAACAACAUCUUCACUUAACAACUCAACACCCUUUUCUUUUGCAGUUUGAUAAGCUGACCAUGACUUCAAGUAUGUAAAACAAGAAUCCAAGUCCAUAACUUUCUCAAUCUUGAACUCAAAUGGUCCAUUAUGAUCACAUCCAUCUAUAGCCUCAAAUGGAAAAUCAAUAGUUUCAUACUUUUCAUCGACCAAUUUUCUUGGUGAUUCCCAAUAAGGUCCAGCAUCACUUGUGUAAAAUUUAUCAAAUAUUGCAUCUACUGAGUUGUUUAUUUUAGGUGUAGUGUAACACCAUGAUGCUAUAACACCAUUUGGUUUCUUGAGUAACCAUUUAACAUGUUCAUAAAAAGUUGGUAGAUCAAACCAAUGCAUUGCUUGUGCAAUUGUUA
rnacentral:misc_RNA from 1 species